CCCCUUCUUCCCCAGCGCCCAUGUCGGCCGGGGGUGACAGGGCUGGCCGCGCAGGCGGGUGACAGCGCGGGAGGAUGGAGCCGGUCCCGUCGCCUUCGUCUCUGCCCCUGGAAGCGGCGGAGCCGGGACGGACUGGGCCGGGGGGGGGGCGGACGGACACGCAGCAGCCUGGCCGGGGGCCGUGUGGGGCGGCUGUGGUGGCCAGGCCGGGUGGGGACGAGGGGCCGCGGGCCCUGACUAAACGUGUUGGUCGUGUCCGGGCUCUCCUUCUGUGCCGGCAGGUGAUGGGAGCAUGACUGAAAAUGAGGGGGAUCUCCAGCGAGAUGGGCCGGAGGCGGCCGAACCCCGCGGGGCCAUUUCGGACUUUUUCAUGAGGGAAGCUUCUUCUCCGGGCUGCGACCAGGAAUUGUCCCGUCCGAGGCCAGACCUUCUCCCCCCAGGGACGGGGCCGGAGAAGACCCCUCGCUGCGGCUUCCGGAAGCGUAAGGAGACUGUGGUGCACCAGCGAGCGUUCAUGGGAGAGAAGCCCUACAUCUGCAUCGAGUGCGGGCAGAGCUUCAACCGCAGCUCCGACCUGAUCCGCCACCAGAGGAUCCACACCGGGGAGAAGCCGUACAUGUGUGCUGACUGCGGCAAGAGCUUCAGCCGCCGCUCCCACCUCAUCCAGCACCAGCGCGUCCACACGGGUGAGCGGCCGUACCAAUGCAAGGACUGCGGGAAGAGCUUCAGCCAGAGCACCCACCUGGUGCAGCACCAGCGCAACCACACUGGCGAGAGGCCUUAUGUCUGUGCCAAGUGUGGGAGGAACUUCUACCAGAACUCGGGCCUGCUCCGCCACGCCAACUUUCACACGGGCGAGAAACCCUACAAGUGCCCCCAGUGCGGGAAGCGCUUCAGCGACAGCUCCAACCUCAUUGCCCACCAGCGGCUCCACACGGGCGAGAAGCCCUACAAGUGUGCUGACUGCAACAAGUGCUUCAGUGAGAGCUCUAAGCUGGUCAUCCACCGGCGCGUCCACACGGGCGAGAAGCCAUACUUGUGCCCUGACUGUGGGAAGAGUUUCAGCCAGCGCUCGCACCUUGUCCAGCACCGUCGCACCCACACUGGGGAGAAGCCCUACAAGUGUGCCGACUGCGGGACCUGCUUCAGCGACAACUCUACCCUCAUCCGUCAUCGUCGUACCCACACCGGGGAGAAACCUUUCAAGUGCUCACAUUGUGGGAAGAGCUUCAGUCGCAACUCCUACUUAGUCUCACACCAGCGGGUGCAUGUGUGGUAGGCAGCGUCGCUAGGUGUGACCUGGGGGUGAUCUAGGAUGCAGCUUCUGACCCAGGCCUGUCCAAAAUGUGCCUAAGGGACAAGGGGGUGGACAAGGGUGUGACUACACCAGAGCCCCUGGAUUAUAGGCAGCUGGCCAGAGUAAUUCCUUUGGCCCACGUUGCCCUUUUCAGUCACCUCCUCCGCCCAACGCAUCUCGGGCAUGGACAGAAAGCGAGCGGUGGUUGCGGUAGGUAGUUCUGCAGCCCUGGCAUCCUCUUUCCCAGGUACUAGAAUCGGAUGCCAUCUGCCGUGUGGCCGAGGUGCAGAUGUUUUCUCCCACCUCCCCGAGAGAGAUGUCUGCCGGGGAGCCUGAGGAGAGAACGCACGAGGUCAGGUCACAUGAUGAGAGGCUGCUUGGUCAUGCAACGUAUGCGCGUGUGGUCACGUCAGGGGAAGUAAGAUGGGAGAUGAGGUCCUUAAGGGCCUGUGUUCCACUUGCAGCUGAAACGUUGUGAAGGGCCUGUGUUCCACUUGAAGCUGAAAUGUUGUGACCGGUAUAAUAUUGCACAGGUCUGUGGAAGCUCACCAUGCUUGUGGUCUAAGCCAGCUUUGUGUCUCAUACAGCAGUCAGGAAGGUCAAAGCUAAGUAAGUCCUGCUGAGAAGCUGGAGACUCCACAUUAUGCCGCUACAGUGUGCGGGCCAACUUGAAGCACAGGCAAAGACCGCUUGAGUCUGCUUGUAAAAGGAACGUGUGGGCAUACGCUGAACCAGAGAAGGAAGGCAUGCCUGCAAAGGUUUUCUGUGAAUGCUGUGUGGAUGGUAGGAACGAGGGAGCUGCAGGAUAGGGGCACGGCCUGUUCUGGAAUCUCAGAACUGGUGGGUAACCGAUGUAGAAAACUAUCAUACCUGGAGGCUUAAAAUAAAAAAAAAAAACAGAAUCAGAAUUAUACUUGCUGCUGCUAAGACUGUGGUACGCAACUUGACAGGUGUAUGGAGGUUGCCUGUGAGUUUGUACUGGUAGCCUCCUCGCUCUGCAGAAUUCAGAUUCACAGAUACAGUUCAAGUGGGCUGGUGUAAGCUGUGUUGCAAAAUAGGACAGAACAACAGUGUACUAGGACUGACCCGAUUCCAUACCAGUAUUUCUCAAGUCCCAUUUUGACCAGUGUGUGCGCGCGCAGGUGUGUAAAUAACACCUAUAUGUGUGUACUCACAUAUGUAUGAACUAGCUUUUAUACUAAGUGUAUCUUCACACUCAGAUGUGAGCAAUCAUGUGUGCGCACACCAUGGCAGUAGUCAAAAUGGCCAGCUGUAUGACACUACACCAUAUCAGUACUUCUCAAAAUGUUAAACAUACUGUAUAUAGUAGCAUUUCGCAAUUAGAAGCUGGGAGAAAUAGGUUUUGUACUAAAACAUCUGAAUUUUCAUAUCAGGACAUUCAGUUUUACACUGAUUAUUUUGUGUAUGUGUGUGUGUGUGUGUGUAUAAGAUCUGGAAUUGAGUUGUUUUAUUUAUAUAUCUAUAAAAAUUUUGUGGGCCCUAUGGUUGCAAGGAAUGACUUCUAAAUGUCACUCAGCAUAGUACCCUCCCCCUCGUUUUACACAGGUACGUAUUGGUGGCAGUUGUAGGAUGUACCCCCCUCAUGGUUUUAACUACAAAGAAUUGCAGUGCAACACUUUACAUUGUUUAUAUUUUUGACUGUUUUGCUGCUGCUCAUUUUAGAGACGAUACUGACUGGUGUGCUUAUCCAGCACUGCUGGAACUUAGAAAAGACUCCUGGUUUUGCGAUGUACCUUACUAAUCCUGCAGCUGGCUCUGUGGCUUCAGUAGGUCUCUGGAAAAAGGAAUGCAGACUGAAGCUGGUAAAAGGACUGGAGCUAUGGUAGGGAAGAGAUGAAGGAAAUGAAGAUGCUAAGAAGAUCGAUGGAUUUGAGCAGCUGCUGGCCGGGGUUGCUUGUGAAUGGCUUGCUCUACAGAACUUGCUACUCUCCAAGGGAUUGCAGGGAUCCUUUCUGCAAGCCCCAAGCCACUUCUUGACACUCAACUGCUGAUAAAAUGUUAUUUUCAUAUAGUUUAAUAAAAAGGAGCUGUAGGGGGAGCAUGAAAUUGUUUGCAGCUCCUAGAGGAACAAGGCACCUUUAUGUGCAGCUGCUCAGGGAAGUAGAAGGAGCUUUCAGAAAUGGGGUGGGCUUUGUUUACACAGGAACCAAAGCCUUCAUCUGCAAAUGCACAUUUUUGCUUUUAGCUUUGUGUUUGUUUUGGGUUUUUUUAUGAACAGCUUCAAACCAAUGAUUUCUUGAUUUCUGUUCCACUUCUGGAAAGUGGUUUGGAAAUGUCACUAAUGGUCAUCUAAUUGGUUCCAGAAGCGUCAAGAUUUUCAUUUGCUAGCAGACUUUCAGAAGGGAUACUACAGCUCUCAGUCGGUAGGCUCAUUUUUAACUGACUUCAAAGGUUAUGCUGCAGUCCAGCUGUAGAACUGAUCAAUUUGUGUGGGUCUGUCCCAUUCCAGUUUAAGUUUCCUAAAGGAAAUCUACAGCACUAAAACUGUUUGCCUUUCCCUGGUAAACAGGGCUUCUCAGCCAUCUUGUGAAUGCAACUUUUCUUUUGGCAAUCUGAAUGGACUCGCUGUAGCGGAUCGAUAAAAUCGAACCCAGGUCUGUACAUGGCUGAGCUCAACUCACAGGGAAAUUCUCACAUCGAGAUUCUGGUUUGAGACGCCAGCUGCCCCUGAAUAUGCCUUCACAGCAGUCCUCAGAGCAUUUAUUUUCUUUUCUACAUGCUUUGUAAAGUGCUGUGUGUACUUAACAGCGCUCUAUAAAUUAAGAGGAUUGACGUGCAUUUAUUUCAAAGAUCUUUAUGAACUUAUUUUAAUACUGUAUGCCAAAUCAAAGUGGCCUUAGGGUUCACAGCACAUUGCCAGUGGAGUAGUCAGCGGCUAGGACUGGAUUGCUCACCAGUGUAAACACAUUUCUGGAGUUCCUUUCAACAGCCAGUUAGUUUUCCCUGUUCAGUGUCACUUGGCUGAAAUAAUUCCCUUCCCCUAGCCUGUCUGCCUUUUACGAUUUGUGAUCAUCUAGCUGGAGAGGAGAAUCUGGGCACCACCCUUCCUUUGCUGUUGCAGAAGUUACAGGGUAUGUUCCUCUUCUUCCAGGAAUUUAAUUGUUUUGUGGGCAGCACAAACUGGCGAACCAAAUUCAGAAGACUGAGGUAUGGGCAUGUGCAAAAAGUCAAGAACCAGAAGGUUUGCUUUCACAGCAGCUAGCUCACUGGCUUCUCUACCAGCUGUCUCCUCCCUCAGGAUCAUAGUGGGAGACUACUGGAAAAAGCAAAAGAGUGACCUCCUGAGCAUCACAGUUUCUUGGCCCCUGGCAGGACCAGAUUUGGAAAUACAUGUGUCAUCCUUCACAGAGGGAUGACUGUUACUUAGCACAGCUGCUGUGCAAUGCAAAUAAGAAUCCCGAGGUGCGGGGUAUUCUUAGAAUUGGUCUUCAUUUUCGUCUAACAUUUCUGCAUGAACCUGAAAAGCCAGAGGAUGGCACACAGUGCUCACGGUUCCUUUACGAGGGAAAGUGGCAGAACCUUAUUCUGCAGUGACACACCAUCCUGCUGGUAGAUGAACCUGGUUCUAGCAGAGCUGCAGCUGCUCUGAGGCAAUUAUCUUCCCAGUUCUGUCACCUGGGUUGCACGGGAUCUAGUUUUCCAGUCCCUUGCUGACAAAAGUAUAUGUAAUAGUGAUGACUGAAAUACAACUUCUUUUACAUUCCUCUCUGCUUCGCUGUUUAUGACCGGGAAAACAGAUUUCUUUUGAUCUUGGACAAGAGGUGCGUUUUACGUGUUUAAUAAAUUUUCAAAAGUA